rnacentral:pre_miRNA from 1 species
AUGUCCUCUUGAGUUCCCUUUAACGCUUCAUUGUUCAUACUUGGUUGUCUAGUAUCUACGGAUAAAUCUGUCCAAUGAACACUGAAGUGUUUGGGGGGACUCUAGGUGGCAU